rnacentral:rRNA from 1 species
GCGAAUUGCAGAACCUCGUGAAUCAUCAAAAUUUUGAACGCACAUUGCGCUACUGAGUAAUCUCAGUAGCAUGCUUAUCUGAGUGUCUCUAAA